rnacentral:rRNA from 1 species
UACGGAGGGUCCAAGCGUUAUCCGGAAUCAUUGGGUUUAAAGGGUCCGCAGGCGGUCAAUUAAGUCAGAGGUGAAAUCCCGUCGCUCAACGACGGAACUGCCUUUGAUACUGGUUGACUUGAGUUAUAUGGAAGUAGAUAGAAUAAGUAGUGUAGCGGUGAAAUGCAUAGAGAUUACUUAGAAUACCGAUUGCGAAGGCA